GAUGAAGAACGUAGCGAAAUGCGAUAAGUAGUGUGAAUUGCAGAAUUCAGUGAAGCAUCGAAUCUUUGAACGCACAUUGCGCCCUUUGGUAUUCUAAAGGGCAUGCCUGUUCGAGCGUCAUUUGUACCCUCAAGCUUUGCUUGGUGUUGGGCGUCUUGUCUCUAGCUUUGCUGGAGACUCGCCUUAAAGUAAUUGGCAGCCGGCCUACUGGUUUCGGAGCGCAGCACAAGUCGCACUCUCUAUCAGCAAAGGUCUAGCAUCCAUUAAGCCUUUUUUUCAACUUUUGACCUCGGAUCAGGUAGGGAUACCCGCUGAACUUAAGCAUAUCAAUAAGCGGAGGA
rnacentral:misc_RNA from 1 species